GGGAGUGUGUCUUUUGUAAGUCCUGUUGAAAUAAAAUCUUCUCCUUUCUAUUUGGUUCCUAAACUUCUGGUGCAAGCAAAAUUCCCAUUGGUUUCAGUAAAGAGAUGAGAAACGAAGUGGCUGAUUGAAGGAUACACAAAGAACUAUACAGACUUAACAUGGAAAUAAUUGGAUCAUUCAUCUAAACUCUACACCUGCAAGCAAAAUGUCAGCUCAGCACUGUAUGGGUAAAGAAAUGUUGUCCUCAGGCAGUAGGACAGAAGUGAGAUAACCUGAAAAGACCCUACAAACCUGUCUAUGAAGAAGAAAGGGAGCCUUGCCAUUCCUCCUAUAAGAAGAGGCUUCAGCUGUGCAUGUGGCUGAGAAAAAAAAAAAAGCCAACUGAUCCAAAUGGAAGCGGUGCAGUAGGAAUCCACCCUUCAUGUCCUGCCCAAAUUCUCUUUCUUCCAUCACCAUGGAUGGGAUAACUUUUGCCAUCCUCUU
rnacentral:lncRNA from 1 species